ensembl:snRNA U6 U6 spliceosomal RNA
GUUGUUACUCAUUCAGACAGAAAUACUAUAAACUGGAACAGUACAGAGAAGAUAUUCAUGGGCCCUGUGCAAGGAUGACAUGCAAAUUCAUGUAUCAUUCUGCAUUGAC